AGCUGUUCUGGCUCACAGCGUCCCCCUGGAGACCAUCAUCCCCAUCCUGCAGCACCUUAAAUAUAAAGAACACCCGGAGGCCAUGUCCUGUCUGCUGCUGCUGCUCUGCAGAGAGGUAUGACAGGAACACACCUGGACACUCGUCUUAGAGACUCCUGGGUCCCCGUUAACGUCUGUUUCCCAGGCCUAGUGAGAAGAUGGUGACGAGAGUGCUGAGUUGUCCCUGUCACCAGUUCACCACCACCUGAGACACCAAUCACGACAACACGCUGGGAAAAUCAAGGCCCAGCUGAUCAAGAACAACCAGCGCCGCAAGAGAGGUGAGGACGGACAGACUGAGACAGAGGUGAGAACAGACAGAGAUGGAACGAUGAGGACAGAUUGAUGAGGACAGAGGUGAAGACAAAUGAAUGAGGACAGAUAGCACAGAGGUGAAGACUCUGUCUGGGUACCUGAUGAACAGCGGUUGUGUGUCCGUCCUCAGUCUUCAGUUACAGCAGUAACCCUGGAACAGAUCCUGGAGCUCAUGGACAACCUGAGGCUGAGCCUGAGCAACACCAAGAACAGCUGUCAGUACACACAGGCUUAUUGAUCGCUUCAGGAGAUAUUGACACUCAGACCCCAAUCCUUCAGGCUCUGCAGCACGUUCAGGCCAGCUGUGACGAGGUCCACAAGAUGAGAUGCGCGCACACACUGACGGGUGAUAUCACUGUGGCGGCUGAUGUCACUUCCUCCUCCUGCAGGAGUACAAAGACUCCUAGACCUAACCUCCCAAGUCCUGCCGUAAGGCUCCGGCCUCCACGCCUCGCUCCCGGGAAGGAGCGGCUCCGCCCAACAACGAGGAGGAGAGUGCCUCCAGCAGGGCCUCUCUGGGGUUCCAAACACCUGAGGCUGUGGAUGUUGGGAGGCGGGAUUUCUGCAGGAGGUGGACUGACAGCAGGAAGAGACACACACUGAUCCCGCCCAGGAUGACCACGCCUGAGAUCAGAGCGCUGGUCACCGGGUUCAUAUGCUUGGAGGGGUUACCAGAUUCUGGAGGAUGGAAAGAUGAGGAAAAGCAGAAGAUAGAAACAGACAUGUUCUUUGACGUAGCCUUAACAUAAUAAAUUGUUCUUUCAG